AAAAGGAUGGGAGGAGGCUAUGGCUGUGUGAAGUGUGUCUGUGAGGGAGGGCAGAAGGGUGUGUGAGAUGAGGUGGUUGUGUUGAAGUGUGUGAGUGCAGUGAGAGAGUUUUGAAAAGGAUGGAGGAGGCUAUGGCUGUGUGAAGUGUGUCUGUGAGGGAGGGCAGAGAGGUGUGAGAUAAGGUGGUUGUGUUGAAGUGUGUGAGUGUAGUGAGAGGGGAUUUUGAAAUGAUGGAGGAGGCUAAGGCUGGUAGUGAGAGGG